AAGAGAGAGAGGGAGAGAAAGAAGGAAAGGAAAAUAUAAAUUGUGCCUCAUCUUUCUUUGAAUGCUGUACUUUAUUCUAGAAAAAGAGAACUUACAAAUGGAAAAGAACUAAUAGAGCAGCUACUUCAUCCCUCAGGCUGUCUAGGGGGAAAUACUUCAGAAAAAUGAACAUUUAAUGGAAAAUUAAAAGAUCUUCAAACUUAAUUUUUAAAAAUAGUUUUAUACCAAAUAUUUAUAAGAAUUAUUAAGCAGAUUUAAGGAUUUUGUAAAAUAAGUGCUUAACUUAGCUGAGCACCCACAUAUCAAAUUAAUAAAAUGGUUUAAAGGGAGUUGGACCAGAAACCACUAGAGUCCUCGCUGAGCUGCAAACUCUCGAAGGUGCCCCUGCAGUCACAGACACCUCAGGUACCCAGAGGCAGCAGCACUAGACGCUGUUGAGAAGUUAGUAUUUAUGGAGAUUUUUAUUAAAGAGUUCCCUGCUGCAUAAGCCGAUGGCUAUUGUGAGGGAAGUGUCCCUUUGCCUUUAAUUUAUUUGCAUAUUGGAAGUAGAAGGAUUUCUUAGUUGCAUCUUACUUUAAAUCGAAACAUUCUAAAGAGAAGAAAAUAAGAACCAGGUAGAAGUUGACUAGAUGCUGCCAAAUCAAACCCAAGAUCUCCUAACUGAACCUUACGGGCCUGCUUCUCCCAGGCAAGUAGUUAGAGUCCCGUUCCAGGAACCCUUUGUAGUUGGCUGGUGUGUUUACUUCCUGCUGUAGCCAGCCAAGAUGAAUGCACCCUGGCCCUCAAAAAGGAUCUUUACCUCAAUCUAGCUUGACCCUCAUCCUUGUGGUUGCCUCGGAGAUGAGCAUCCAUGCUAGUGUU